AGCGAACGCUGGCGGCAGGCUUAACACAUGCAAGUCGAGCGGGCACUCCGGUGUCAGCGGCAGACGGGUGAGUAACACGUGGGAACGUACCCUUUGGUUCGGAAGCAUGCUGGGAAACUAGCGCUAAUACCGGUUACGCCCUUUUGGGGAAAGGCUUGCUGCCGAAGGAUCGGCCCGCGUCUGAUUAGCUAGUUGGUGGGGUAAUGGCCUACCAAGGCGACGAUCAGUAGCUGGUCUGAGAGGAUGAACAGGCACACUGGGACUGAGACACGGCCCAGACUCCUACGGGAGGCAGCAGUGGGGAAUAUUGGACAAUGGGCGAAAGCCUGAUCCAGCCAUGCCGCGUGAGUGAUGAAGGCCUUAGGGUUGUAAAGCUCUUUUGUCCGGGACGAUAAUGACGGUACCGGAAGAAUAGGCCCGGGCUAACAUCGU
rnacentral:rRNA from 1 species